GGCUAACGCUGGCGGCGUGUCUUAGCCAUGCAAGUCGAGCGGACUUAUGGGGUAACUUAUAAGUCAGCGGCGGACGGCGGAGUAACACGUAGCUAACCUACCCUCUGGACGGGGAUAACCUACCGAAAGGUGGGCUAAUACCCGAUGUAGUCAUCCUGUAUAGGGGUGAUGAAAGGUGGGCUUCUGUUUACAAGCUCAUGCUGGAGGAGGGGGCUGCGGCCUAUCAGGUAGUUGGUAGGGUAAUAGCCUACCAAGCCGAUGACGGGUAGCCGGCCUGAGAGGGUGACCGGCCCGAGGGGCACUGAGAUACGGGUCCCACUCCUACGGAGGCAGCAGGCUAGAAAUUUGGGCAAUGGGGGAAACCCUGACCCAGUGACGCCGCGUGCAGGAAGGAGCCCUUCGGGGUGUAAACUGCUGUCGUGUAGGGAGAAGGGUACUAAGGUGAACAAUCUUAGUACUUGACGGUACUACAGGAGAAGCCCAGGCUAACCUCGUGCCAGCAGCCGCGGUAAGAUAGCGUACU
rnacentral:rRNA from 1 species